UUAGCUAGUUGGUGAGAUAAAAGCUCACCAAGGCCACGAUGGGUAGCCGGCCUGAGAGGGUGAACGGCCACACUGGAACUGAGACACGGUCCAAACUCCUACGGGAGGCAGCAGUGGGGAAUAUUGCACAAUGGGCGAAAGCCUGAUGCAGCAACGCCGCGUGAGCGAUGAAGGCCUUCGGGUCGUAAAGCUCUGUCCUCAAGGAAGAUAAUGACGGUACUUGAGGAGGAAGCCCCGGCUAACUACGUGCCAGCAGCCGCGGUAAUACGUAGGGGGCUAGCGUUAUCCGGAAUUACUGGGCGUAAAGGGUGCGUAGGUGGUUUCUUAAGUCAGAGGUGAAAGGCUACGGCUCAACCGUAGUAAGCCUUUGAAACUGAGAAACUUGAGUGCAGGAGAGGAGAGUGGAAUUCCUAGUGUAGCGGUGAAAUGCGUAGAUAUUAGGAGGAACACCAGUUGCGAAGGCGGCUCUCUGGACUGUAACUGACACUGAGGCACGAAAGCGUGGGGAGCAAACAGGAUUAGAUACCCUGGUAGUCCACGCCGUAAACGAUGAGUACUAGCUGUCGGAGGUUACCCCCUUCGGUGGCGCAGCUAAC
rnacentral:rRNA from 1 species